rnacentral:tRNA from 1 species
GGGUCUGUAGCUUAACUGGGAAAGCAGCUAAUUCGCAAUUAGCGAGAUGUGGGUUCUAUUCCCACCAGUAUCUA